rnacentral:rRNA from 1 species
UACGGGGGGGGCAAGCGUUGUUCGGAAUUACUGGGCGUAAAGGGCGCGUAGGCGGCCUGCUAAGUCGGAUGUGAAAUCCCUCGGCUCAACCGAGGAACUGCAUCCGAUACUGGCGGGCUUGAAUCCGGGAGAGGGAUGUGGAAUUCCAGGUGUAGCGGUGAAAUGCGUAGAUAUCUGGAGGAACACCGGUGGCGAAGGCGGCAUCCUGGACCGGUAUUGACGCUGAGGUGCGAAAGCGUGGGGAGCAAACAGG